rnacentral:rRNA from 1 species
ACAUUAACCACACCCGGAGUCACAACGCUGCCGUCGCCUCGGUCACGCGCCGCCGCCCCGCUUCUCCCCGCCGUCCCUCCCUCCCCAGCCUGCGUCGUUACCAUUGCCGUCCCUUCUCCUUUCUCCUCACCUCCUCCGUUCCUCCCCUGCCAUCGGUGGGGUCGCUGCCGCCAUCCUUCCCACCGCCGCCGUCUCCGUCCUGCUGCCCCGACCUCACCCAGAACCCUAGCUCGCCCUAGGCCGUGUUUCCGCUGCCGAUUGGUCCAUCCGUGAGUUGUUUGCUCCCGUUUCCGCGUCGUCGUCUAUGAGUCUAGCAGCCGAAUCGCCGUCGCCGUCCCCGUCGUCGUCGAGCGGCAGCGACGAUUUCGCUGCGCUCCUAGACGCGGAGCUGGAUCUCGCCUCUGCCGUCGACUCCGCCUCUGCGGGCGACCCCUCCACAUCACCCACAAGCAGCGAUGACAAAGAGGACGACGAUGAAGACGCGGUGGCCGAUGUAGAAACCGUGGAGCAGAGCAGUGCCAAAAGGCGUAAAGUGAAGGUGCAAUACCAAGAUCGAGAAACGGCAAUAAGGCCUGACGAAGAUUCCAUUGGUUCAUCUGAAGAUGCUCAAAUCAAGAUAUGUCCUCCACAUCCUGGAUAUUUUGGUGGACUUUGCUUUAGGUGUGGGAAAAGACAAGACGAGGAAGAUGUUCCAGGGGUUGCUUUUGGUUAUGUCCACAAGGGUUUGAGGCUAGGUACAUCAGAAAUUGACAGAUUGCGUGGAUCUGAUUUGAAGAAUUUGCUGCGUGAAAGAAAACUGAUACUUAUUUUAGACUUGGACCAUACACUUAUCAACUCGACAAAACUCCAUGAUAUUUCUGCUGCUGAAAAUAACCUGGGAAUUCAGACUGCUGCAUCAAAAGACGAUCCAAAUGGAAGCUUGUUCACAUUAGAAGGAAUGCAGAUGCUUACAAAGUUGAGACCCUUUGUCCGUAAAUUUCUAAAAGAAGCAAGCAAUAUGUUUGAGAUGUAUAUAUACACCAUGGGCGACAAGGCUUAUGCAAUUGAAAUAGCAAAGCUUCUUGACCCUCGUAAUGUCUAUUUUAAUUCCAAAGUGAUUUCAAACUCUGACUGCACACAGCGACACCAGAAAGGUCUUGAUAUGGUUCUUGGAGCUGAAAGUGUUGCCGUGAUUCUUGAUGAUACUGAGUAUGUCUGGCAGAAGCAUAAAGAAAACCUAAUACUGAUGGAGAGAUAUCAUUACUUUGCUUCGAGCUGUCGCCAGUUUGGUUUUAGCGUCAAAUCUCUGUCAGAGUUGAUGCAAGAUGAAAGGGGGAGUGAUGGUGCUUUGGCCACUAUCUUAGAUGUUCUGAAGCGUAUACACACGAUUUUCUUUGACUCGGCUGUUGAAACUGCUCUUUCUUCACGGGAUGUAAGACAGGUAAUCAAGAGGGUACGGCAAGAAGUACUGCAAGGCUGCAAAUUAGUCUUCAGUCGGGUGUUCCCGUCCAGUUCUCGCCCACAGGAUCAGUUUAUCUGGAAGAUGGCCGAGCAGCUGGGAGCCAUUUGUUCCGCGGACGUGGAUUCCACUAUCACCCAUGUUGUCGCUGUGGAUGUUGGAACUGAUAAGGCCCGUUGGGCAGUUAAGAACAACAAGAUCCUGGUCCACCCCCGCUGGAUUGAAGCCUCAAAUUUCCGGUGGCACCGGCAGCAGGAGGAAGAUUUUCCCGUGAAGGUGAAGAAGAAUGAAAAGGACAAGGAAAAUGAUGUUGCUGCUGCCACUGGUCCAGCGAAUGAAAAGGAUAAAGAAGAUGAUGUUGUUGCUGUUGUCACUGAUCCAGCGAAUGAAAAGGAUAAAGACGAUGUUGCUCCUGCUGCGACUGAUCCAGCGAAUGAACAGGAUAAAAAAAACGAUGUUGCUGCUGCUGUCACUGAUUCAAUGAACUCAUAAGAUACACAGAAUUGGUUAAGUGCACGUUUUAAGGGGAUUAAUUAAACUUUUGUGACAUGUACCGUAGGUACGAGCAGUGGAACAGAAAGCUCAGCAUUUUUGGAUAUGGUUUCGCUGAUCCUUUCU